AGGCAAUUGCGCGUCUACUCAUGCAGUCGAACGCUUCUCCGGGGACUGGCACACGGGUGAAUAAUGGGCGGAAAUCUACCUGGCUCUUCGGAAUCCCUCCUGGAAACUUGAGAUAAUAUUGUAUACCUCCUUCUGGAGAAAGAUUUAUCUUAUUUUCAUGAGCCCAUGUCUGAUUAGACUGUUGGUGAGGUAAAGGCUCACCAGAGCGACGAUCCAUUACUGGUCUGAGAGGAUGAUGGCUCACCCUGGGACUGUGACACGGCCCACACUCCUAGGGGAGGCGCCACUGGGGAAUUUUGAACAAUGGGCGACUCCCUGAUCAGGCCAUGCCGCGUAAGUGAUGAAGGCCCUAGGGUUGUAAACCUAUUUCCCCGGCGAAAAUGAUGACGGUUACCGGAUAAUAAACCUCUGUUGUCUUCGAGCAACAAGGAUGAGAGUUACUGCUGGGGCUAUGAUUGUUCGGAAUUACUGGGCGUGGCUAACUACUAGGCGGAUCCCGCGGUUAUGGGUGAAAUCCCGGGGCUCAACCCCAUUAACUGCCUCUAAUACUGCCGAUCUAGAGUUCUUUAAGAGGUGAUGUGGAAUUCCCUGUGCUCAACGUGAAAUUCGUCAUAUAUAAACUGGAAACACUUGUGUGCGAAAGCAGGCUCACUGGAAUUCAUUGUGACGCUGAGGUGUGAAAGCAUGUGUAGCGGACCGGAUUAGAUACCCUGCGACUUUCUGGUCUGUAACUGACGCUGCUAGCUCGUCAGCAUGUUUACCUGUCAGUGAUUACAUUUCACUGCAUAGUCCAUGCCCGUCCUGGGAUAGUACGCUAAGUGUUAUUAAAACUCCCGCCGAAUUGACGCUGCGCCCUACACGCAUUAAUGGAAUCAUGUGGUGGAGUACGAAGCAACGCGUUGAAACCUUACCAGACUCUGUGACAUCGUCGCGUCACAAGAUACCGGGAGCAUGUUGUUCUUAUUUCUUAAGGCAACGACCAAAAACAUGAUGCAUGCUCUUUGCUGUCGUCAGCUCACGUCUAUGAGAUAGAUUCUGUUCAAGUCGCGGCACAGAGCGACACGCUGCGGCCAUGGUUGUCGUCCCUUCAGUGUCGGCACUCUGAAGGGUACUGUCGGUCAUCAACGCAACGCAAUGUGAGGAUGUACUGCAGUCAUCAUGGGCCUCAGGCUGACGCUACGCUCGAUGACUCGAAUGGUAGUGACGGAUGACAGUCGAAUCGUCUAGGCUGAUGACUUGGCAUAACAUCUGCAUUCAUGAUUGGGAAUCAUGCAAGUCGCGGAGAACACUCGCCA
rnacentral:rRNA from 1 species